GGCCUCAAAUCAGACAAGAGUACCCGCUGAACUUAAGCAUAUCAAUAAGCGGAGGAAAAGAAACUAACAAGGAUUCCCCUAGUAACGGCGAGUGAAGCGGGAACAGCUCAAAUUUUAAACCUGGCUGCUUUGUAGUCCGAGUUGUAAUUUGAAGGAGUCUUGCCGCUGGCAAAACGAUGGCACAAGUCCUCUGGAACGGGGCAUCGUAGAGGGUGAGAAUCCCGUCUCUGGUCAUCACGCGCUGGCAUACGGCAGGCAUCCGAAGAGUCGAGUUGUUUGGGAUUGCAGCUCCAAAUGGGUGGUAAACUCCAUCUAAGGCUAAAUAUUGGCGAGAGACCGAUAGCGAACAAGUACCGUGAGGGAAAGAUGAAAAGAACUUUGAAAAGAGAGUAAAACAGUACGUGAAAUUGUUGAAAGGGAAACGAUUGAAG
rnacentral:rRNA from 1 species